GACGAACGCUGGCGGCGUGCCUAAUACAUGCAAGUAGAACGCAGUUGCGAACGGGUGAGUAACGCGUAGGUAACUGCCUCAUAGCGGGGGAUAACUAUUGGAAACGAUAGCUAAUACCGCAUACUGUGAGAUGGACCUGCGUUGUAUUAGGUAGUUGGUGAGGUAAAGGCUCACCAAGGCGACGAUACAUAGCCGACCUGAGAGGGUGGUCGGGCACAAUGGGACGGGGGAAAGGGCCAGGACCCUGCGGGGGGGAAGAAGAGGGAAUUAUCGGAAAUGGAGUGAAGUCUGGACGAGCAAAGCCGGGUGGGGGAAGAAGGGUCUCGGAGCGGAAAGCUCUGUUGUUAGAGGAGCGGUAACUAAAGAGAAAGGGACGGCUAACUACGUGCCAGCAGCCGCGGUAAUUC
rnacentral:rRNA from 1 species